CUUUGUUCUGCUUUUUGAGAUAGGGUUUUGAUACCUAUCCCAGGCUGAACUCAAAAUUCAUGACCUUCCUGCCUCAGUCAUGAGUGCUGGUAUUAUGGGAUGCACCACCACAUCAGGCUGUUUGAAGAUGUUAGGAAGGACUUCAUUGUAAAGCUGGGUGUGGUGGCACAUGCCUGAAUCUCAGUACUUCAGAGGCACAAUCAAGGCUGCCUCAGACGCAUGUCCAGCCUCAUCUACAGAGAUCCAGGCUCUUGUACUCUACAGCACAAAAUUAUCUCGGGCAAGGCCUUGGGGUCAUCUCUGGCAACCUCACAAGGUAAAGCUUGUGUGCUUCACUGAGAGGAAGGUGGCUGAGCUGGUUCUCAAGGAUUGUGAGGUAAUGCACGUGAGCCUUGGAGUUCUAGUGUGUGUGAGGCUAUCCCUGCCCUCAGGAGCAACUGGGAGGAAAGCAGCGAGUCUCGGGAAGGUGGAGAAUGGCAAGGUCACACUCAGCAGGAGAGAAGAGCCCAGCAGUGUAGGGUACAGCUUCAGCAACAGGACUGGCUGCUCUGGAUCCCGCCAUCUCAACUGUCUCUGGUUGGAAGAAAUCACCUGCAGACUGCCAGGCCGCCGCUGGUGAAGGGAACCUGGACCCGUUACAUUUCCUCUUCUCCGAUUGCUAAGCUUAGCCCUGUGGUAAGGUACUUCAGAGGAGGCUGGCCAGCACAAGUCACUUGCUGUGAUCCCAGGCUCACCAGCACGUCACAACUGCCAUCAGGCCAACUAAUCAUCUUGGCAUUCUUGGCUCCUGGGAAAAUCGGAGUCCUGAGUGCUCUCUGGUGGAGGCUCACAGGAACCUCACUAGUGACAAGCCACAUUCUCCAGUGCAAGGGCUACUCACAGAUGCCGUGGUCACCAUGCAGGGCACUUCUCCACGGUGGACACUCAUGAUGGUGGAAAAGGCAGAGAUGACUCCCUGGGUAUUGCUCAGGCGACCGUUUUCAGCAAGUAAGUCUGGGGGAGUGACAUGAAACUCACUGACUCACACUCAAAGCAAUGUCAGCUUGGAGCCUGAAAACACCGGCGUCAAAGCCCUCUAGGACUAUGGCGGGAGGAUUAGGGAUUUAGCUCAGUGGUAGUCCUGGGUUCGGUCCUCAGCUCCAGAAAACAAAACAAAACAAAAAACAAAAUACAAACAAAACCCACAAGACUAUGAUGGGGUCUGGAGAGAUGGCUCAGUGAUUAUGAGCAUGGGGCGUUGCUCCUGCAGAGAACCCAGGUUCCGUUCCCACCACCCAGAUGUUGGCUCACAACAACCCAUAACUCCAGUUCCAGAGGUCUGAUGCCCUCUUUUGACUUCCUGGAGCACCAGGUUCGUUCUCUCUCCCUCUCC